UACCUACCCUACCAUGACACUGGAAGU
rnacentral:piRNA from 2 species